rnacentral:SRP_RNA from 1 species
GCUGGGCAUGGUGGUGCAUGCCUGUAAUCCCAGCUACUUGGGAGGCUGAGGCAGGGGAAUUGCUUGAACCGGGGUGGUGGAGGUUGCAGUGAGCCGAGAUUGUGCCACUGUACUCCAGCCUGGGUGACAGAGCGAGACUCUGUCUCAA